rnacentral:sRNA from 1 species
UCUUUUCGAUCCGGGACGGCCGGUCAGGCUCGCCGCCGAGCUGGAGAACUACGAUGACCCGCACAAAACCCCUGCCUCCCCAGUUGUCCACAUCAGGGGCCUGAUUGACGGCGUGGUGGAAGCAGACCUUGUGGAGGCCUUGCAGGAGUUUGGACCCAUCAGCUAUGUGGUGGUAAUGCCUAAAAAGAGACAAGCACUGGUGGAGUUUGAAGAUGUGUUGGGGGCUUGCAACGCAGUGAACUACGCAGCCGACAACCAAAUAUACAUUGCUGGUCACCCAGCUUUUGUCAACUACUCUACCAGCCAGAAGAUCUCCCGCCCUGGGGACUCGGAUGACUCCCGGAGCGUGAACAGUGUGCUUCUCUUUACCAUCCUGAACCCCAUUUAUUCGAUCACCACGGAUGUUCUUUACACUAUCUGUAAUCCUUGUGGCCCUGUCCAGAGAAUUGUCAUUUUCAGGAAGAAUGGAGUUCAGGCGAUGGUGGAAUUUGACUCAGUUCAAAGUGCCCAGCGGGCCAAGGCCUCUCUCAAUGGGGCUGAUAUCUAUUCUGGCUGUUGCACUCUGAAGAUCGAAUACGCAAAGCCUACACGCUUGAAUGUGUUCAAGAAUGAUCAGGAUACUUGGGACUACACAAACCCCAAUCUCAGUGGACAAGGUAAUCUUGACGACCACUUUGUUCUAAACAUACCCGCCUUGCUUUCACUCGACUAGUGCACUUCAUAGGCCUGGGCUCAGGGUUAUGUAAUGCCAUUGGGCCCCCCAUGGACAUGGGAGGGCCUUGGGGUCAGCUCUUGGACACCCUAGUGGGAUGGGGGAGUGAGAGGCCUCCAUGGGUCUUCACUGCUGCUUGGGGCCCUCCGAUGCUGCUCAGGAUACAGAGGCAAGGCAGAAGCCUGGACGGGCGGGGAGCAGGGCCUCACUGAGGAUGAGGCAUGGGGGCGGCCUUAGAAACCAGCAGUGGCUCCUUUGAGAGUCUGGUGAGGGUCACUCACUCCAUUCUUGCUGGGCCAGGCAUUGUCCUCUUGUUCUGCGCUGUUGAGAGGGUCUGAUUUGGGGGAGUGACAGUGUUGGGGGGCGAUGAGGUCUCCCGGGCUCUUGCAGUGAGCCUUGUGAGCAAGCUGACCCU